GAUCAGCGAAGGAUUAUGGCUUACCUCUAAUAUACCAAUUAUGAUUCAACUUCUUACUUCCAAAUUUUAUAAUAUAAUGUCAUCUUUCACAUUAAAAACAAGCAAUGGCAGACUUCGUAGCCAAUUUGGAACUUCUUCACCAGAAAAUAUGGUGAAUUCAGAUUACACCUUAAAAUUUUAACAAUUCCUUACAAUUUUUCACAAUCUAAGUUGCUUAGCAAGGCCUUCAUUACUAGUUAUUUAAUAUUCAGUUUUGACUUCAUAUUUGUUUCAAGAUUUUUACAUCUUUCCUUCCUUUUCUCCUUCAAGUUGAAGUAAAAAAAUUUUAUUCUCAAUUCUCCUCUUCUAGUGAAGACCCCAUCCCCAUAGUACCAUGACUUUCUAUUGAAAAAAAAAAAAAAUUACAUCAGCUAGACAAAA
rnacentral:misc_RNA from 1 species